UUGCUUGCUUGGGCAGCACAUAUACUAAAACUGGAACAAUACAGGGAUGAUUAGCUGCAUGGUCUCUGCACGAGGAUGACAUGCAAAUUCAUGAAGCUUCCUUUUUUUUU
ensembl:snRNA U6 U6 spliceosomal RNA